rnacentral:tRNA from 1 species
GCCUGGCUGGCUUAGUCAGGGGAGCAUGCGACUCUUGAUCUUGGGGUCAUGGGUUCGAGCCCCAUGCUGGGUG